AGUGAACGCUGGCGGUAGGCCUAACACAUGCAAGUCGAACGGCAGCACCGUAAGAGCUUGCUCUUACGGGUGGCGAGUGGCGGACGGGUGAGGAAUACAUCGGACUCUACUUUUUCGUGGGGGAUAACGUAGGGAAACUUACUCUAAUACCGCAUCCGACCUACGGGUGAAAGCAGGGGAUCUUCGGACCUUGCGCGAUUGAAUGAGCCGAUGUCGGAUUAGCUAGUUGGCGGGGUAAAGGCCCACCCAGGCGACGAUCCGUAGCUGGUCUGAGAGGAUGAUCAGCCACACUGGAACUGAGACACGGUCCAGACGCCUACGGGAGGCAGCAGUGGGGAAUAUUGGACAAUGGGCGCAAGCCUGAUCCAGCCAUACCGCGUGGGUGAAGAAGGCCUUCGGGGUGUAAAGCCCUUUUGUUGGGAAAGAAAAGCAGCAGGUUAAUACCCCGCUGUUCUGACGGUACCCAAAGAAUAAGCACCGGCUAACUUCGUG
rnacentral:rRNA from 1 species